UUGGAGGGCAAGUCUGGUGCCAGCAGCCGCGGUAAUUCCAGCUCCAAUAGCGUAUAUUAAAGUUGUUGCAGUUAAAAAGCUCGUAGUUGAACCUUGGGUCUGGCUGGCCGGUCCGCCUCACCGCGAGUACUGGUCCGGCUGGACCUUUCCUUCUGGGGAAUCUCAUGGCCUUCACUGGCUGUGGGGGGAACCAGGACUUUUACUGUGAAAAAAUUAGAGUGUUCAAAGCAGGCCUUUGCUCGAAUACAUUAGCAUGGAAUAAUAGAAUAGGACG
rnacentral:rRNA from 1 species